rnacentral:sRNA from 1 species
CAUUACACAAUAAAAUAUGAAGGCCUGGCUUCGCAGGCCGGCUGAAAUAUUUUUUCACCCAUGUCUUUUGCGCACUUGUUGUUUCCUGGGCGGGUUCGCCCGCCACCAGGACCAAACCAUAAACCUUUUUCUUAUGCAGUUUCCAUCAGCGUCAGUAAAAACAAUGUAAUAAUUACAACUUUCAACAACGGAUCUCUUGGUUCUGGCAUCGAUGAAGAACGCAGCGAAAUGCGAUACGUAGUGUGAAUUGCAGAAUUCAGUGAAUCAUCGAAUCUUUGAACGCACAUUGCGCCCUUUGGUAUUCCAAAGGGCAUGCCUGUUCGAGCGUCAUUUGUACCUUCAAGCUUUGCUUGGUGUUGGGCGUUUUUGUCUCCCUCUUUCUGGGAGACUCGCCUUAAAACGAUUGGCAGCCGGCCUACUGGUUUCGGAGCGCAGCACAUUUUUUGCGCUUUGUAUCAGGAGAAAAGGACGGUACUCCAUCAAGACUUUUACAAUUUUAACUUUUGACCUCGGAUCAGGUAGGGAUACCCGCUGAACUUAAGCAUAUCAAUAA